rnacentral:lncRNA from 1 species
GGGCAGGGGGGUGAAGGCGGGUCUGGGUUGGCAGGGGGUUGAGGGAUACUGAAGGGUCCUGUCGCCCUAGGUAGGGGUCACUGAGGGUGUCGCCAGUUUUAGGAUCGACUCUGUUCAGUUAGUGCUGAGGAGCACACAGGCUCUGUCUCAGGGGAACAGAGAUGAUAUCCCUCUCUCUCCCUCUCUCUCAUGUUGAGGUACAGCCAUAAAAGGAGUGAAGCUUCAUUUGCCCUCUCACUGGGUUUCACCUAAAAGGGCUUUCAGAAAAAUUUCCAGCCUUCUCCUGCGGGACAUUGGAUGCGGUCUCGUUGGCCAAAGAGAAAACGAGUAACAGAUGAAGCUCAUACGGAUGAAGAGGCCAAAACCGAAAUGUUAAUCACCUCAAAAUAUGCGCUGCUCCCUCCAAAACCGCUCUUGGCUCGCCUCAGAGGAUCUCUGAUUGGAGACUUUUCCCCCAGGGGUGGGGGGGUCUGCUGCUGAUAUUCGGGGUUACAUUUGAGGGUCCAAGCUGCAA